CCUACGGGGGGCUGCAGUGAGGAAUAUUGCGCAAUGGGGGCAACCCUGACGCAGCAACGCCGCGUGAGUGAGGAAGGUUUUCGGAUUGUAAAGCUCUGUCGAGCGGAAAGAAAUGCACGAUGGCUAAUAUCCAUCAUGCUUGACGGUACCGCUAGAGGAAGCACCGGCUAACUCCGUGCCAGCAGCCGCGGUAAUACGGGGGGUGCAAGCGUUGUUCGGAAUCAUUGGGCGUAAAGAGCGUGUAGGCGGCUGGACAAGUCAGAUGUGAAAUCCCUGGGCUUAACCCAGGAAGUGCAUUUGAAACUGUCUAGCUGGAGUAAGGGAGAGGAAAGUGGAAUUCCUGGUGUAGAGGUGAAAUUCGUAGAUAUCAGGAGGAACACCGGUGGCGAAGGCGACUUUCUGGCCCUAUACUGACGCUGAGACGCGAAAGCGUGGGUAGCAAACAGGAUUAGAUACCCCGGUAGUC
rnacentral:rRNA from 1 species